AGGCGCGUAGCUCAGCGGUUAGAGCGCCUGCUUGACACGCAGGAGGUCAGUGGUUCGAUUCCACCCGCGCCUACCA
rnacentral:tRNA from 1 species